rnacentral:tRNA from 1 species
UAGAUUGAAGCCCGCUGGUUUGGGUUUUUAGUUGUUAACUAAGAUUUUAUGGAUCAAGGCCCGUCGAUCUAG